UGGGAAAAUUUUUCUAUGAAAUUGAAGUCUUAGCUUUCAAAGGAACUUUCAAAAUAAAACCCAGUCUAGCCUGAGCCCUGCUUAUACGACUUAUAUCAGAUAUUUUCUUAGGAUGUUAUAUAAUUGAAAUCAUUCAAUAAGUAAAUCAACCUCAGUAGUCAUGCUUAUAAAAUUCUACAAAGCUGUCAAAUUAGUACAAAAUGUAGUUGUUUUCUUUCUAAACCAAGAAUGGUCUCUAUCCUAAGGUGCCGUAUCUAGCAGUGGUGGCGAAGCUAUGGCGCACGUGCCGCAGUGGGCUGUUUGUGCCGUUGAAAGCGCUAAAAGAGUUUGAAGUCACGGUUAUAGAGGCUGCCAUGUUUGUCUGAGCAACUGACUCGUGCAACUCCAUCUAAGCUUUGGACCUACUUUCAUCCCGAGGACAUUGUUCUGCCCUUCUGUAUGCACACCUCUUACACUUGAGGAACUCUGUGCCUGGAGAUUGAAGAUGCUGGAGAACCAUAAUGAGCCCAGAGUAUUUCCAGGAAUGAGCUAACAAAGGCAAGCCAUGGCACUUCUGGGUUAAUCUUUCGAGCUUUUCAUCCUCUUUAAAAGGAUGGAGUGACUGCCGUGCUUGGAGAUUCGUGACUUCACAACUCAAGCCAAAGAAGUUGCUCCUGAAUGUGGGUCUACUCACUGUGUCAACCCUAGAGAAAUGCUGGGAAUCUGAAAAAAGUCAUUUAAACUUCAUGUUUUUCAGGAUCCAAUUAAAAUGAUCAAUUACAUUAAAAUAUGUCUCCUUAACUCAUCCAUUCACAGAGGUCUAUGAGGAAAUGGAUUCAGAGUACCAGCAUCUUCUCUUACACACAAAACUGAGAUGGCUUUCUAAAGGAAGAUUACUGGCCAGAGCUUUUGAGCUACAAGAGCCGCUCCAGAGAUGUCUUUUAGAAAAACAGUCACCACUGGCAGCAUAUUUCAGUGACACCGAAUGGGUCACAAAACUUGCUUACUUGUGUGACAUAUUUACACGAGUACCUAUUCUGCCUAUGUGUUAUAACGCUAGAGAAUACCUUGAAGUACAAAUACACGUAGAAAGGACAUGCAGAUGUUCAUGUUCCAGGCCAGUACUGACCAGCUGAGAUACAGCCUGAACCACAGAUGGAAACCACAUAGGUUUUUCUUUAUCAUUCUAUUGUAAAAGAACCAAAAAGAAUUCUGAGUGAGAUGAUGGUGGUGAUGUAGUUGUGAAUCUUCUCAGAUCUCCACUGACAAAAGGUAA